UUUUUAAGUUAGCGGCGGACGGGUGAGUAACACGUGGGCAACCUGCCUGUAAGACUGGGAUAACUUCGGGAAACCGGAGCUAAUACCGGAUAAUCCUUUUCUACUCAUGUAGGAAAGCUGAAAGACGGUUUACGCUGUCACUUACAGAUGGGCCCGCGGCGCAUUAGCUAGUUGGUGAGGUAACGGCUCACCAAGGCGACGAUGCGUAGCCGACCUGAGAGGGUGAUCGGCCACACUGGGACUGAGACACGGCCCAGACUCCUACGGGAGGCAGCAGUAGGGAAUCUUCCGCAAUGGACGAAAGUCUGACGGAGCAACGCCGCGUGAGUGAUGAAGGUUUUCGGAUCGUAAAACUCUGUUGUUAGGGAAGAACAAGUACGAGAGUAACUGCUCGUACCUUGACGGUACCUAACCAGAAAGCCACGGCUAACUACGUGCCAGCAGCCGCGGUAAUACGUAGGUGGCAAGCGUUGUCCGGAAUUAUUGGGCGUAAAGCGCGCGCAGGCGGUCCUUUAAGUCUGAUGUGAAAGCCCACGGCUCAACCGUGGAGGGUCAUUGGAAACUGGGGGACUUGAGUGCAGAAGAGAAGAGUGGAAUUCCACGUGUAGCGGUGAAAUGCGUAGAGAUGUGGAGGAACACCAGUGGCGAAGGCGACUCUUUGGUCUGUAACU
rnacentral:rRNA from 2 species